rnacentral:rRNA from 1 species
GACGAACGCUGGCGGCGUGCUUAACACAUGCAAGUCGAACGGAAAGGCCCUGCUUUUGUGGGGUGCUCGAGUGGCGAACGGGUGAGUAACACGUGAGUAACCUGCCCUUGACUUUGGGAUAACUUCAGGAAACUGGGGCUAAUACCGGAUAGGAGCUCCUGCUGCAUGGUGGGGGUUGGAAAGUUUCGGCGGUUGGGGAUGGACUCGCGGCUUAUCAGCUUGUUGGUGGGGUAGUGGCUUACCAAGGCUUUGACGGGUAGCCGGCCUGAGAGGGUGACCGGCCACAUUGGGACUGAGAUACGGCCCAGACUCCUACGGGGGGAAGCAGUGGGGAAUAUUGCACAAUGGGCGGAAGCCUGAUGCAGCAACGCCGCGUGCGGGAUGACGGCCUUCGGGUUGUAAACCGCUUUCGCCUGUGACGAAGCGUGGGUGACGGUAAUGGGUAAAGAAGCACCGGCUAACUACGU